rnacentral:rRNA from 1 species
CACGUAGGGGGCGAGCGUUGUCCGGAUUUAUUGGGCGUAAAGAGCUCGUAGGCGGCUCAGUAAGUCAGGUGUAAAAACUCCAGGCUCAACCUGGAGACGCCAUCUGAUACUGCUGUGGCUAGAGUCCGGUAGGGGAGCAUGGAAUUCCUGGUGUAGCGGUGAAAUGCGCAGAUAUCAGGAGGAACACCAGUGGCGAAGGCGGUGCUCUGGGCAGUAACUGACGCUGAGGAGCGAAAGCGUGGGGAGCGAACAGG